CCAGACUCCUACGGGAGGCAGCAGUGAGGAAUAUUGGUCAAUGGGCGGGAGCCUGAACCAGCCAAGUCGCGUGAGGGAAGACGGUCCUAUGGAUUGUAAACCUCUUUAGGCGGGGAGCAAUGCCGGGCACGCGUGUCCGGAGGGAGAGUACCCGCAGAAUAAGCAUCGGCUAACUCCGUGCCAGCAGCCGCGGUAAUACGGAGGAUGCGAGCGUUAUCCGGAUUUAUUGGGUUUAAAGGGUGCGCAGGCGGGCUGUUAAGCCGGCGGUAAAAAUUCAGGGCUCAACCCUGUCGAGCCGUCGGAACUGGCAGUCUUGAGUGGGCGAGAAGUAUGCGGAAUGCGUGGUGUAGCGGUGAAAUGCAUAGAUAUCACGCAGAACGCCGAUUGCGAAGGCAGCAUACCGGCGCCCAACUGACGCUGAGGCACGAAAGCGUGGGGAUCGAACAGGAUUAGAUACCCUAGUA
rnacentral:rRNA from 1 species